rnacentral:rRNA from 1 species
CAGUCGCCACGGGAAUACGGAGGGUGCAAGCGUUAUCCGGAUUUAUUGGGUUUAAAGGGUCCGUAGGCGGAUCUGUAAGUCAGUGGUGAAAUCUCACAGCUUAACUGUGAAACUGCCAUUGAUACUGCAGGUCUUGAGUAAAUUUGAAGUGGCUGGAAUAAGUAGUGUAGCGGUGAAAUGCAUAGAUAUUACUUAGAACACCAAUUGCGAAGGCAGGUCACUAAGAUUUAACUGACGCUGAUGGACGAAAGCGUGGGGAGCGAACAGGAUUAGAUACCCGCGUAGUCCCUGUCUCUUAUAC